rnacentral:lncRNA from 1 species
GUAUGGAUCCAGGAUAUGGAUCCAGGGUAUGGUCUAUGGUAUGGAUCCAGGGUAUGAUCUAUGGUAUGGAUCCAGGGUAUGGUCUAUGGUAUGGAUCCAGGGUAUGGUCUAUGGUAUAGAUCCAGGGUAUGGUCUAUGGUAUGGAUCCAGGGUAUGGUCUAUGGUAUGGAUCCAGGGUAUGGUCUAUGGUAUGGAUCCAGGGUAUGGUCUAUGGUAUGGAUUCAGGGUAUGGUCUAUGGUAUGGAUCCAGGGUAUGGUCUAUGGUAUGGAUCCAGGGUAUGGAUCCAGGGUAUGGUCUAUGGUAUGGAUCCAGGGUAUGGUCUAUGGUAUAGAUCCAGGGUAUGGUCUAUGGUAUAGAUCCAGGGUAUGGAUCCAGGGUAUGGUCUAUGGUAUAGAUCCAGGGUAUAGAUCCAGGGUAUGGUCUAUGGUAUAGAUCCAGGGUAUGGUCUAUGGUAUGGAUCCAGGGUAUGGUCUAUGGUAUAGAUCCAGGGUAUGGUCAAUGGUAUGGUCUAUGGUAUGGAUCCAGGGUAUGGUCUAUGGUAUAGAUCCAGGGUAUGGUCUAUGGUAUGGAUCCAGGGUAUGGUCUAUGGUAUGGAUCCAGGGUAUGGUCUAUGGUAUGGAUCCAGGGUAUGGUCUAUGGUAUGGAUCCAGGGUAUGGUCUAUGGUAUGGAUCCAGGGUAUGGUCUAUGGUAUGGAUCCAGGGUAUGGUCUAUGGUAUGGAUCCAGGGUAUGGUCUAUGGUAUGGAUCCAGGGUAUGGUCUAUGGUAUGGAUCCAGGAUAUGGUCUAUGGUAUAGAUCCAGGGUAUGGUCUAUGGUAUGGAUCCAGGGUAUGGUCUAUGGUAUGGAUCCAGGGUAUGGUCUAUGGUAUGGAUCCAGGGUAUGGUCUAUGGUAUGGAUUCAGGGUAUGGUCUAUGGUAUGGAUCCAGGGUAUGGUAUGGAUCCAGGGUAUGGUCUAUGGUAUGGAUCCAGGGAAUGGUCUAUGGUAUGGAUCCAGGGUAUGGUCUAUGGUAUGGAUCCAGGGUAUGGUCUAUGGUAUAGAUCCAGGGUAUGGUCUAUGGUAUGGAUCCAGGGUAUGGUCUAUGGUAUAGAUCCAGGGUA